GGUGAACGCUGGCGGCGUGCCUAAUACAUGCAAGUCGAGCGAAUAGACGAUGAGCUUGCUGCUCUGACGUUAGCGGCGAACGGGUGAUUAACACGUGGAUAACCUACCUAUAAUACUGGGAUAACUUCGGGAAACCGGGGCUAAUACCGGAUAAUAUAUUGAACCGCAUGGUUCAAUAGUGAAAGACGGUUUUGCUGUCACUUAUAGAUGGAUCCGCGCCGCAUUAGCUAGUUGGUAAGGUAAUGGCUUACCAAGGCAACGGUGCGUAGCCGCCCUGAGAGGGUGAUCGGCCACCAUGGAGCUGCGACACGGCCCAGAAUACUCCGGGAGGCAGCAGUAGGGAAUCUUCCGCAAUGGGCGAAAGCUUGCCGGUGCAGCGCCGCGUGAGUAAUGAUGGUCUUCGGAUCGUAAAACUCUGUUAUUAGGGAUGAACAAAUGUCUAAGCAACUAUGCACGUCUUGCCGGAACCUAAUCAGAAAGCCACGGCUAACUACGUG
rnacentral:rRNA from 1 species